rnacentral:rRNA from 1 species
AGACAGCAGUCGCCGCGGUAAUACAGAGGGUGCGAGCGUUAAUCGGAUUUACUGGGCGUAAAGUGUGCGUAGGCGGCUUCUUAAGUCGGAUGUGAAAUCCCUGAGCUUAACUUAGGAAUUGCAUUCGAUACUGGGAAGCUAGAGUAUGGGAGAGGAUGGUAGAAUUCCAGGUGUAGCGGUGAAAUGCGUAGAGAUCUGGAGGAAUACCGAUGGCGAAGGCAGCCAUCUGGCCUAAUACUGACGCUGAGGUACGAAAGCAUGGGGAGCAAACAGGAUUAGAUACCCCAGUAGUCCCUGUCUCUUAUAC